GAAGAAGUGGACUAAAGUGCAUCAUAAAAAGAUGCCACUGGGAUCAGUUAAAGUCAACAAAAUAGAAAACAUUUAGAAGGAACAAAGCCAAAAGCCCAGAACCAGAUUUAAACGUGGCAUAUGCUGUGGCAGGAGGCCAGUGGAAGGAGAACUUGCUAGAGGAGUAACAACAGGGAGAGCUCCCUGCUGCAGCCCAUGGGUCAGGCAGGGAUCAGCAAAGCAGCAGAGGAAGUAAAAUGAGUGAAGUGAUGCUAUGAUGGAGAUCAACAGGAAGUUUUGGCCACUAACUUGCAUUUCAGCUGAUGUGGUUUAACCAAGGGAAAUAAAGGACAAAAAAAGGCAGCUAAGCCUCCUCACUAUAAGAGAAAAAUAGGACACAAAGCCAGCUAGGAGGAAACGUUCAUGAUCUGGAGUCCUUGGACUUCCUGAAGUUUCUUGCUGUGUUUCUACAGAAAGUGGGUAAGCAGCUACACCUCGCACCAAGCCACUAAAGUUUCUCCAUCACCAGCCAGUUUUAACUAGGGCUGGUUUCACCCAAACCACCACUGCACUUAAAACAAGUUUGACUGCAAAUAGAGACCUCCAUUCAUGGAACUGGGGUCUACCAAGGCAACAGGGGGGCCAUGCAUUGACUUUGGUUGAUCUUAUGACUGAGUUGGAAGAUCUCUCCCUCAUAGAGACUGUCUGAUACCCACUCAUGCAAACUGGAGCUGCACCUCUCCCCAAGGCUCAGCUUGACUGAAACAGGACAACAGGUUCAGAAGUUACUGGGUUGAGCAAACAUGCAUAUAUGUGGAAUGGUAAGAAACCUGGGU